rnacentral:rRNA from 1 species
GAAAAUUACAAGCAUAAGCUUAAAACUCAAAGGACUUGGCGGCGCUUUAGACCCCCCUAGAGGAGCCUGUCCUAUAACCGACAACCCCCGUUAAACCUUACCUUCUUUUGCCUCCAGUCUAUAUACCGCCGUCGUCAGCUUACCCUUUGAAGGCCUCAAUAGUAAGCAAGCUCGAUUUUAAGCCCCAGACGUCAGGUCGAGGUAUAGCAAAUAAGAAGUGAAGAGAUGGGCUACAUUUUUUACCUAAAACACACGAACAAUGUUUUGAAACAAACAUAUUGAAGCAGGAUUUAGCAGUAAGUAAAAAAUAGAGCGUUUU